GUUUAAAAUCGACUAUAAACAGGGUUAGUCACGGUUUAAUUUUAAAAAGGUUUUAAACUGUAAACAUGAGUUAACCCUGUUUCAGCAAUUUUAACUCCUUUUUUUAGCGAAGGAUUUCACUAUUAACCUUAACACAUCGGUUUAAAUCUUGCGCAAGGUUUGAAUGGUUUUAAAUUUCUAUCAUGGUGAGAUUCUUAAUGCAUUUAAGGGUUUCUCGUGUAAACUUGUCAAGUGGAAUCAGUAAGAGAAAAAUGGUGUUUAGUGUUCAGUGUGCCUCAAAGAAUGGAGGCAUUCGCGUUGACAUUUUUGGGAUUGGGGCUCAAUAUGAGCCCCCACAGUGACCACCCAGGGACAUAUCAACGACAAGAAGAGUAAAUUGUGAAAAGUUCUGUGAUGUCGGAACUCCAGAUUUGCAGAAGUUCGAACGAGAGGAUCAUACUGAAACAUGGAAAUUCUACCUAAAAUUUCAAGAGGAGAGAGCAGAAGCACGCCAGGGAGCAGUGGAAAGUGCAAAAUAAAAUAAUUGCCACCGUCCUAACCUCUUACACAUCCUUUGAAGUGGUGCAGACUGAAGCAGGAUUGAUUAAUUUCAGGAAUUACGUAGGUUUCAGAAACCAAAAAAUAUGCCCUCUUAAUUUUUUUUUAAAUAUAAUAAAGAAUAUUUCUUCAAAUCCAACUCUGAAACAUAAAAGUACAACAUUAGAACAAUAUUUUCUAAAAUUUUCAUUUACAAAUUUUAAGAGGCUGAUCUUUUAAAAUGAUUUUCGGAGACAUACUCACAUAAUUUUUCUCUGAAAUCAGAAAACUAAAUAUUUGCUAUUAGCAGUUGAGUAAAAGUUAUAUUUCAACGAAAGUUUAAAAACAUGAAAUUUGUUUUCAAUAGCAUUUUUUACAAGAAAAAAUGGCGUAUUCUACACUACAUUUCGCCGUGCAAAAUAAGGUAUGACCAAGGAAAAAAAAAACAAAUCCUUGUUUAAGUUUUAAACAAUCAACUCUAGAAGUAUGCAAAUUUUCGAUGUAAUUGAUGCAUUAGUUUUCGAAAAAUUUUGCAUAUAAAUCUCACAAAUUGAGAUUUUAAAAAGAGCUUUUAAAGUUGAUGCUUCUCAAUUGGCUUUAAAUAAAUUUGUAAAGGCUCUAUCCUAAAGUUUCUCACUGGCUUGAAGCUUUGAGAUGAGAAAAUAUUCUUCACAUGUUGUACUUUGUUAUCAAAGAAUAUGUAUAUAUAUUUUUUUUAAGUUGCAAUACGUAUGUGGAAUUUUUUUUUUAAAUGCCUUUUUAAAGCAAAUUUCCCAUAUCCUUGUAGGUAGAAACGUCAGAAUUUUUUAAAAAAGGCAUUUUUAAAAAAAAUUUCCACUAGUGUGUAGACGCCAAGUUAAGGUAAUCCAGAUAUAUUUAUUUAUUUUUCAUUGAGAUAAGAUUAAAUAUUGAAAAAGAAUAUAGGUAAACAAAUACUGUCAAUUUUUCUUGAUGGAUUUUCCUAAGUUUUGCUUAAUUAUUUUGAAAAAAAAAAAAAACUUUUCUCAUGCUGUUGUAAAAUUUACUCCCUAGUUUUUGCCACUAUUGUUUAAAAAAGCUUUAAAUAACAAAUAUUUUUACGAUAAAUAAUAAUAUAAUAAAGUUUAAAGUAAUGAAAUAACUAGGAGUUAUAAAUUCUUAUAUUUGUGUUAAAUUGUAAUUUUUUUAAUAGUAAAAUAAGGAAUUAUAAUAAUAUAUUGUUAGAGAAACAAAUACCAUUUUAUUGUAAUAAAUUCUAAAUGUUUACUUAACC